rnacentral:rRNA from 1 species
AUUGAACGCUGGCGGCAGGCCUAACACAUGCAAGUCGAGCGGCAGCGACAACAUUGAAUCUUCGGAGGAUUUGUUGGGCGGCGAGCGGCGGACGGGUGAGUAAUGCCUAGGAAAUUGCCCUGAUGUGGGGGAUAACCAUUGGAAACGAUGGCUAAUACCGCAUGAUGCCUACGGGCCAAAGAGGGGGACCUUCGGGCCUCUCGCGUCAGGAUAUGCCUAGGUGGGAUUAGCUAGUUGGUGAGGUAAGGGCUCACCAAGGCGACGAUCCCUAGCUGGUCUGAGAGGAUGAUCAGCCACACUGGAACUGAGACACGGUCCAGACUCCUACGGGAGGCAGCAGUGGGGAAUAUUGCACAAUGGGCGCAAGCCUGAUGCAGCCAUGCCGCGUGUGUGAAGAAGGCCUUCGGGUUGUAAAGCACUUUCAGUAGGGAGGAAGGUUCAUGCGUUAAUAGCGUAUGGAUUUGACGUUACCUACA